UUAAGCGACUAAGCGUACACGGUGGAUGCCCUGGCAGUCAGAGGCGAUGAAGGACGUGCUAAUCUGCGAUAAGCGUCGGUAAGGUGAUAUGAACCGUUAUAACCGGCGAUUUCCGAAUGGGGAAACCCAGUGUGAUCCGUCACACUAUCAUUAACUGAAUCCAUAGGUUAAUGAGGCGAACCGGGGGAACUGAAACAUCUAAGUACCCCGAGGAAAAGAAAUCAACCGAGAUUCCCCCAGUAGCGGCGAGCGAACGGGGAGCAGCCCAGAGCCUGAAUCAGUGUGUGUGUUAGUGGAAGCGUCUGGAAAGGCGUGCGAUACAGGGUGACAGCCCCGUACACAAAAAUGCACAUGCUGUGAGCUCGAUGAGUAGGGCGGGACACGUGGUAUCCUGUCUGAAUAUGGGGGGACCAUCCUCCAAGGCUAAAUACUCCUGACUGACCGAUAGUGAACCAGUACCGUGAGGGAAAGGCGAAAAGAACCCCGGCGAGGGGAGUGAAAAAGAACCUGAAACCGUGUACGUACAAGCAGUGGGAGCCUCUUUAUGGGGUGACUGCGUACCUUUUGUAUAAUGGGUCAGCGACUUAUAUUCUGUAGCAAGGUUAACCGAAUAGGGGAGCCGAAGGGAAACCGAGUCUUAACUGGGCGUUAAGUUGCAGGGUAUAGACCCGAAACCCGGUGAUCUAGCCAUGGGCAGGUUGAAGGUUGGGUAACACUAACUGGAGGACCGAACCGACUAAUGUUGAAAAAUUAGCGGAUGACUUGUGGCUGGGGGUGAAAGGCCAAUCAAACCGGGAGAUAGCUGGUUCUCCCCGAAAGCUAUUUAGGUAGCGCCUCGUGAAUUCAUCUCCGGGGGUAGAGCACUGUUUCGGCAAGGGGGUCAUCCCGACUUACCAACCCGAUGCAAACUGCGAAUACCGGAGAAUGUUAUCACGGGAGACACACGGCGGGUGCUAACGUCCGUCGUGAAGAGGGAAACAACCCAGACCGCCAGCUAAGGUCCCAAAGUCAUGGUUAAGUGGGAAACGAUGUGGGAAGGCCCAGACAGCCAGGAUGUUGGCUUAGAAGCAGCCAUCAUUUAAAGAAAGCGUAAUAGCUCACUGGUCGAGUCGGCCUGCGCGGAAGAUGUAACGGGGCUAAACCAUGCACCGAAGCUGCGGCAGCGACACUAUGUGUUGUUGGGUAGGGGAGCGUUCUGUAAGCCGUUGAAGGUGUGCUGUGAGGCAUGCUGGAGGUAUCAGAAGUGCGAAUGCUGACAUAAGUAACGAUAAAGCGGGUGAAAAGCCCGCUCGCCGGAAGACCAAGGGUUCCUGUCCAACGUUAAUCGGGGCAGGGUGAGUCGACCCCUAAGGCGAGGCCGAAAGGCGUAGUCGAUGGGAAACAGGUUAAUAUUCCUGUACUUGGUGUUACUGCGAAGGGGGGACGGAGAAGGCUAUGUUGGCCGGGCGACGGUUGUCCCGGUUUAAGCGUGUAGGCUGAUUUUCCAGGCAAAUCCGGAGAAUCAAGGCUGAGGCGUGAUGACGAGGCACUACGGUGCUGAAGCAACAAAUGCCCUGCUUCCAGGAAAAGCCUCUAAGCAUCAGGUAACAUCAAAUCGUACCCCAAACCGACACAGGUGGUCAGGUAGAGAAUACCAAGGCGCUUGAGAGAACUCGGGUGAAGGAACUAGGCAAAAUGGUGCCGUAACUUCGGGAGAAGGCACGCUGAUAUGUAGGUGAAGCGACUUGCUCGUGGAGCUGAAAUCAGUCGAAGAUACCAGCUGGCUGCAACUGUUUAUUAAAAACACAGCACUGUGCAAACACGAAAGUGGACGUAUACGGUGUGACGCCUGCCCGGUGCCGGAAGGUUAAUUGAUGGGGUCAGCCGCAAGGCGAAGCUCUUGAUCGAAGCCCCGGUAAACGGCGGCCGUAACUAUAACGGUCCUAAGGUAGCGAAAUUCCUUGUCGGGUAAGUUCCGACCUGCACGAAUGGCGUAAUGAUGGCCAGGCUGUCUCCACCCGAGACUCAGUGAAAUUGAACUCGCUGUGAAGAUGCAGUGUACCCGCGGCAAGACGGAAAGACCCCGUGAACCUUUACUAUAGCUUGACACUGAACAUUGAGCCUUGAUGUGUAGGAUAGGUGGGAGGCUUUGAAGUGUGGACGCCAGUCUGCAUGGAGCCGACCUUGAAAUACCACCCUUUAAUGUUUGAUGUUCUAACGUGGACCCGUGAUCCGGGUUGCGGACAGUGUCUGGUGGGUAGUUUGACUGGGGCGGUCUCCUCCUAAAGAGUAACGGAGGAGCACGAAGGUUGGCUAAUCCUGGUCGGACAUCAGGAGGUUAGUGCAAUGGCAUAAGCCAGCUUGACUGCGAGCGUGACGGCGCGAGCAGGUGCGAAAGCAGGUCAUAGUGAUCCGGUGGUUCUGAAUGGAAGGGCCAUCGCUCAACGGAUAAAAGGUACUCCGGGGAUAACAGGCUGAUACCGCCCAAGAGUUCAUAUCGACGGCGGUGUUUGGCACCUCGAUGUCGGCUCAUCACAUCCUGGGGCUGAAGUAGGUCCCAAGGGUAUGGCUGUUCGCCAUUUAAAGUGGUACGCGAGCUGGGUUUAGAACGUCGUGAGACAGUUCGGUCCCUAUCUGCCGUGGGCGCUGGAGAACUGAGGGGGGCUGCUCCUAGUACGAGAGGACCGGAGUGGACGCAUCACUGGUGUUCGGGUUGUCAUGCCAAUGGCACUGCCCGGUAGCUAAAUGCGGAAGAGAUAAGUGCUGAAAGCAUCUAAGCACGAAACUUGCCCCGAGAUGAGUUCUCCCUGAGACUUUAAGUCUCCUGAAGGAACGUUGAAGACGACGACGUUGAUAGGCCGGGUGUGUAAGCGCAGCGAUGCGUUGAGCUAACCGGUACUAAUGAACCGUGAGGCUUAACCUU
rnacentral:rRNA from 1 species